rnacentral:rRNA from 1 species
UACGCAGGGGGCUAGCGUUGUUCGGAAUCACUGGGCGUAAAGCGCACGCAGGCGGAUCGAUAAGUCGGGGGUGAAAGCCCGGGGCUCAACCUCGGAAUUGCCUUCGAUACUGUCGGUCUCGAGUCCGGGAGAGGUGAGUGGAAUUCCUAGUGUAGAGGUGAAAUUCGUAGAUAUUAGGCAGAACACCAGUGGCGAAGGCGGGUCACUGGCCCGGUACUGACGCUCAGGUGCGAAAGCGUGGGGAGCAAACAGG